CAGAGUAGGUUUCAUGCGUUCGGGUUUACCCCGUGAAGUGCUGUGAGAUGGGAAGUCGCCCACAGACGAAAAGCUUCGGCUUACGGUAUGAUUCCGCAUCCGCUGU
rnacentral:ncRNA from 1 species